AUGCAAAACAAUGGGAGUUUGUGUGCUAGAUAAUAGUUGAAGAUGAGUUAGGAGUAUAACAAAGUGGUAAUGCUACCAGUCGUCGACAGAUAACU
rnacentral:snoRNA from 1 species